rfam:Ovis aries breed Texel chromosome 8, whole genome shotgun sequence.
UCCCCGGUGGCUCAGCGGUAAAGAAUCUGCCUGCAAAGCAGGAGAACCAGGUUCGAUCCCUGGUUCAGAAA